rnacentral:rRNA from 1 species
GCCAGACUCCUACGGGAGGCAGCAGUGGGGGAUAUUGCACAAUGGGGGAAACCCUGAUGCAGCGACGCCGCGUGAGUGAAGAAGUAUUUCGGUAUGUAAAGCUCUAUCAGCAGGGAGGAAAAAAGACGGUACCUGACUAAGAAGCCCCGGCUAACUACGUGCCAGCAGCCGCGGUAAUACGUAGGGGGCAAGCGUUAUCCGGAUUUACUGGGUGUAAAGGGAGCGUAGACGGCAAUACAAGUCGGAAGUGAAAUACCCGGGCUUAACCUGGGAACUGCUUUGGAAACUGUAUGGCUGGAGUGCUGGAGAGGUAAGCGGAAUUCCUAGUGUAGCGGUGAAAUGCGUAGAUAUUAGGAGGAACACCAGUGGCGAAGGCGGCUUACUGGACAGUAACUGACGUUGAGGCUCGAAAGCGUGGGGAGCAAACAGGAUUAGAUACCCGAGUA